GAUGAAGAACGUAGCGAACUGCGAUAAGUAAUGUGAAUUGUAGAAUUCAGUGAAUCAUCGAGUCUUUGAACGCACAUUGCGCCCCCUGGCAUUCCGGGGGGCAUGCCUGUCCGAGCGUCAUUGCUGCCCUUCAAGCCCGGCUUGUGUGUUGGGUCGUCGUCCCCCCCGGGGGACGGGCCCGAAAGGCAGCGGCGGCACCGCGUCCGGUCCUCGAGCGUAUGGGGCUUUGUCACCCGCUCGAUUAGGGCCGGCCGGGCGCCAGCCGGCGUCUCCAACCUUCUAUUUUACCAGGUUGACCUCGGAUCAGGUAGGGAUACCCGCUGAACUUAAGCAUAUCAAUAAGCGGAGGA
rnacentral:misc_RNA from 1 species